GGGGAAUAUUGCGCAAUGGGGGGAACCCUGACGCAGCCAUGCCGCGUGAAUGAAGAAGGCCUUAGGGUUGUAAAGUUCUUUCGGUAUUGAGGAAGGUUGAUGUGUUAAUAGCACAUCAAAUUGACGUUAAAUACAGAAGAAGCACCGGCUAACUCCGUGCCAGCAGCCGCGGUAAUACGGAGGGUGCGAGCGUUAAUCGGAAUAACUGGGCGUAAAGGGCACGCAGGCGGUUAUUUAAGUGAGGUGUGAAAGCCCUGGGCUUAACCUAGGAAUUGCAUUUCAGACUGGGUAACUAGAGUACUUUAGGGAGGGGCAGAAUUCCACGUGUAGCGGUGAAAUGCGUAGAGAUGUGGAGGAAUACCGAAGGCGAAGGCAGCCCCUUGGGAAUGUACUGACGCUCAUGUGCGAAAGCGUGGGGAGCAAACAGGAUUAGAUACCCUGGUAGUCCACGCUGUAAACGCUGUCGAUUUGGGGGUUGGGGUUUAACUCUGGCGCCCGUAGCUAACGUGAUAAAUCGACCGCCUGGGGAGUACGGCCGCAAGGUUA
rnacentral:rRNA from 1 species